GUUUCAAAUUCAAUAUAUUUUAAUAAUUUAUUGAUGUUGAAAUAAAUUCUUGGAACUUUGAACGUUAAAUCACAAACUCAAAGAUAUCAACAACAUACAAUGAACGUCAAAUAAUUUAUUUCUGUUUCUGACAACAGAGGGCGGUAGAAAGGUUAAGGUACUGCCAUCUAGCGAGAAUCCGAUAAACGACGAUUAGAUAAAUAAUCGAGACUGGUUGGGUCAGUCGAGUACUUGCGUUCGUUAGUAGUAGCACGUAAUUUGCUGUGGGAGUGUUUUAUCUUAUUCUCGUGUUUUAAGGAUUGAUCCAGUCGUUUAGACAUCAGAAAUGGGUCGUGAUGGUGAGUGAGUCUUUUUUUAAUGUUGUUAAUUAUAAGGAACGUGCAUGGAAAUUAUGCGGAUCUAUCACUUUUUUUUUUUUUUUACCUUUACAUCCACACAUCUACGGUCUUCGCUAUAGGUGUAAACAGAUCGAUAACUUCAUCCCUUCUCAAUUAUUUCAAGAAUUCCCAAAUUUAACUGUAACUAUUUUACGAUUAAAAUUUACAUAACGUGAUCGUUUCGUUAAAAUUAAUUACUUUAUUUAUCUACCUUUGAUUACCUGAGGUUGAUAUAGCGCCAAAACUUGUUCGUGCCUUCUUAUUUCUAUUGUGUAGUAAAUCAUAAAAUACUAGUUUAAUUGACUUAAUUUAUGACUUAAAAAAAAGCAAAGUGAUCAUUUUAGAAUUUUUAGUAAGCUUAUUGAUUAUCGGAC
rnacentral:lncRNA from 1 species